rnacentral:lncRNA from 1 species
CUUUGAGUUUCUUUUCUUCAUAUAUAAAUUGAAAGAAAUAUAGAAGAAAUCAAUCCUCUCUCCUUUACAGGUGCUUUAAGAUGAAAUGAGGUAAUAAAUGUUAAAUUGCUUUAACAGUGAGGAAAAAAAUCAAUGAAAAUAUUCAUAAUACAGAUGCCAUUCUUUCUGUUGGAACUGCAACCAUGGAAGUGAAAAAGUCUGUAUCAUGUGGGAAGUGACAAUAAUCAUGUUACCCAGAGGUGACUAUUAUAGAAGAGCCAUUAAAGGCAAUGGCUGUACCAUCCAUUCAGCUGAACAAAUCAGAUUCCUAGAAUUGUCCUCGACAUGCCGUGAGUUCUGUUGACAUUAUGUCCCGGUGCUAGGAAACAGUCCAUUUCUCCAUAUCCCCACCACCUCUAGUCUUUGCACAUUAGAUUCUUAAAAUUCCUUCUAAAUAGUUUCUUUCCAUCCAGCCAGACUCUUAACUCUGUUCUCUACUUUGCAAUUAAAGUGAUCUUUUA